rnacentral:rRNA from 1 species
AUGCGUAAGUGGCAGGAGAAGGGGGAACGGCGUGGUGAGGACCACCACGGCGUCUCGUGCUGCUCGCUAGAAGCUGCAAGCUCCCAUGCGACCUUGCUCGUCGUCUUCUUCUCGUGCACAACAUCCAGGUCCAUCAAUUUGUUAAUCCAAGAUUUGGCUCAGGAGAGUGCCGCAUAUGCAGGAAGACACGGAGAUGGUGAGUCAGUGACCAUGGUUGCUCUGUUGAGUUCAGGGGAGCAAAUCAAUCGAGGAACUCUGAUCUUAUGGUUUUUAGAAUUGUUUAUGUGUAAGCCACAGAUUUUCGUGCAUGAAACUGAUAAUCUUAACGAGGAUACGUGUGCUAUUUGUUAA